rnacentral:lncRNA from 1 species
AGGACAAGAGGAUUAUCCUAUGUAAGAACGCUGUUCUUUGACUAUAGCUCAGCGUUCAACACCAUAGUACCCUCCAAGCUCAUCAUUAAGCUCGAGGCCCUGGGUCCGAACCCCUACCUGUGCAACUGGGUCCUGGACUUCCUGACGGGCCACCCCCAGGUGGUGAAAGUAGGAAACAACAUCUCCACUUCACUGAUCCUCAACACUGGAGACCCCAAGAGUGUGUGCUCAGCCCCCUCUUGUACUCCCUGUUCACCCAUGACUUCGUGGCCAAGCACGCCUCCAACUCAAUCAUCAAGUUUGCAGACGACACAACAGUACUAGAGCAUCCUGUCGGGCUGUAUCACCGCCUGGUAUGGCAACUGCACCUCCCGCAACUGCAGGGCUCUCCAGAGUGUGGUGCAGUCUGCCCAACGAAUGCACCGGGGCAAACUGCCUGCCCUCCAGGACACCUACAGCACCCGAUGUCACAGCAAUGCCAAAAAGAUCAUCAAGGACAACAACCACCCGAGCCACUGCCUGUUCACCACGCUAUCAUCCAGAAGGCGAGGAAGAAGACUGGCCACCCCUCAUAGCCUGGUUCCUCUCGAGGACCUGAGCCCUAGGACCAUGCCUCAGGACUACCUGGUAUGAUGACUCCUUGCUGUCCCCAGUCCACCUGGCCGUGCUGCUGCUCCAGUUUCAACUGUUCUGCCUGCGGCUAUGGAACCCUGACCUGUUCACCGGACGUGCUUGUUGCACCCUCGACAACUA